rnacentral:rRNA from 1 species
UACGAAGGGGGCUAGCGUUGCUCGGAAUCACUGGGCGUAAAGGCGCGUAGGCGGCCGAUUAAGUCGGGGUGAAAGCCUGUGGCUCAACCACAGAAUUGCCUUCGAUACUGGUUGGCUUGAGACCGGAAGAGGACAGCGGAACUGCGAGUGUAGAGGUGAAAUUCGUAGAUAUUCGCAAGAACACCAGUGGCGAAGGCGGCUCACUGGCCCGUUACCGACGCUCAGGCGCGACAGCGUGGGAGCAAACAGG